rnacentral:rRNA from 1 species
CCUACGGGAGGCUGCAGUGGGGAAUAUUGGACAAUGGGCGAAAGCCUGAUCCAGCCAUGCCGCGUGUGUGAAGAAGGCCUUCGGGUUGUAAAGCACUUUCAGUGGGGAAGAAAGCCUUGGGGCUAAUACCCGCGAGGAAGGACAUCACCCACAGAAGAAGCACCGGCUAACUCCGUGCCAGCAGCCGCGGUAAUACGGAGGGUGCGAGCGUUAAUCGGAAUUACUGGGCGUAAAGCGCGCGUAGGCGGUCUGAUAAGCCGGUUGUGAAAUCCCCGGGCUCAACCUGGGAACGGCAUCCGGAACUGUCAGGCUAGAGUGCAGGAGAGGAAGGUAGAAUUCCCGGUGUAGCGGUGAAAUGCGUAGAGAUCGGGAGGAAUACCAGUGGCGAAGGCGGCCUUCUGGACUGACACUGACGCUGAGGUGCGAAAGCGUGGGUAGCAAACAGGAUUAGAUACCCUUGUAGUC